GUUCACCCAUUUUGAUUCUGAUUCCUCAUUCCAUGACUCCAUGACUCCAUGACUCCAAUCUAUUUUGAUCAUGUGCCACAAUAAAAUUUGACAUUUUGACUGGAAACUCAAAUCUUUGUGGAAUGACCUGAGAUUGAAUCCCACCUUCCUCUCUGCUGCAAACACCAAUCCAAAGGAAUGUAUAGAGAAAAAAAAAAAAAGAUAUCUUCAUAAAUCUUCAACAUCACUCCAGAUUGCAAAAGGCCACUUUUUGAUAAACUUAUUUGCAAAAGAGAGAGAGAGAGAGUGGAAACCUGCAACCUCUUGUCCGUCGACUAAGCAGGGGAAGAUGAGAGGAAGUUGACGAAUCAGAGUGGCAUUUGAAUUCGAUUUGGUGGGUUUUCUACACAAGCAGUGUUGGAAGCCAUUUCACAUGGCAAAAUAGUUAUAGCCUAUCUAGUUUGCGACUGUGGAUUCGGUACUAGAACUAUUUUUUCUUAGUUGGUAAAUGGUGAAAUUCUCGUCGUUUAAUGGCAGCCUCAAUCUAAACAACUGUUUAAUCUCCUUUCUAGACCGAUGCAAAUCAAUGUUAGAAUUGAGGCAAAUCCAUGCUUUAAUCAUAACUUUUGGCCUCUCAGAAGAUGAUUUUUUCAUGUCGAGGGUCCUUUCUUUCUCUGCUGUAUCUGAUUCUGGUGACAUCCAUUACUCCAAUCAGGUCUUUCGUCACCUCUCCAAUCCAACCAUCUUCAAUUGGAAUACCAUUAUAAGGGGUUACUCAAGAAGCAAGAAUCCAAAUGGGUCUAUCUCUAUUUUUAUUGAAAUGUUGAGGGCUGGAGUUUCACCUGAUCAUCUUACUUUUCCCUUUCUAGCAAAGUCAUCAGCCCGUUUGUCAUCAUUGCAGCAUGGUGUGGCAGUGCAUAAUUGUAUUGCUAAGACUGGGUUUGAGUUUGACCGAUUUGUUCGGAAUUCUUUGAUUCAUAUGUAUGCUGCCUGUGGGCAAAUAAUUUCUGCCCGGAAGUUGUUUGAUGAAAUGCCACAAAAGAACUUGGUCUCAUGGAAUGCCAUGGUUGAUGGAUAUGCAAAGUGUGGUGAUUUGGUUGCUGCCCGGCAAACCUUUGAAUUGAUGUCUGAACGGGAUGUUGUGUCUUGGAGCUCUUUGAUUGAUGGGUAUGUCAAGAGCGGGGACCAUAGGGAGGCCUUAAGUCUCUUUGAAAGAAUGCAGCGUCUAGGAACAAAAGCCAAUGAAGUUACAAUGGUGAGCGUGUUGUGUGCUUGUGCCCAUUUAGGUGCUCUCGAACAGGGGAGAAUGAUGCACCAUUAUGUGAAUGAUAGUGCAAUGCCUUUGAGUCUGGCUCUACGGACUUCCCUGGUGGACAUGUAUGCAAAGUGUGGUGCCAUUGAUGAGGCUCUGGCAGUUUUCCAUGGGGUACCAAUGGAGCAGACUGAUGUAUUAAUUUGGAAUGCGAUGAUUGGAGGACUUGCUACUCAUGGAUUGGUUAAAGAGUCGUUGGAAUUGUUUAAAGUGAUGCAGGCUUGGGGGAUCUCCCCAGAUGAGAUCACUUAUCUAUGCUUAUUGAGUGCAUGCGCCCAUGGAGGGCUAGUGGGGGAAGCUUGGAACUUCUUCAAUUUACUUAAUACUCAUGGCAUGACACCUAAGUGUGAACAUUAUGCUUGCAUGGUCGAUGUUCUUGGGCGUGCAGGUCGGUUAGAUAAGGCAUUCCAGUUUUUAGAUAAAAUGCCCGUGGAACCCAGUGCUUCCACUUUGGGUGCUCUACUUAGUGGAUGUAGGAUGCAUGGAAGGUUAGAUCUUGCGGAAGAAGUUGGAAGGAAGCUCAUUGAAUUGGAGCCAGAUCAUGAUGGUCGAUAUAUUGGUUUGUCAAAUGUCUAUGCGGUUGCCAGGCGAUGGAAUGAUGCUAGAACAUUGAGAGAAGCCAUGGAGAAGAGGGGUGUUAAGAAGUUCCCAGGAUGUAGCUUUGUUGAGGUUGGGAGGACUCUUCAUAAGUUCAUUGCUCAUGAUAAAGCACAUCCUCAAUUAGUAGAAAUAUAUUUGAUGUUGAAUAAUAUAGCUGAACUGAUGAAAUUGGAUGGUGGUAAUGAAACUCAAGACAAUGAUACUUACGAAAUUGGAGAAGAUGGAUGAGUUGCAUGGUUUCCUAGUUUCUGAUUUUAGCCUUUGUGCUGAGCAAGAAAGAGAGAAAUGGAAAGAUGUCUUAUCUUCUGCCUCACUUACACUCGGGCUGGGCCAUCGAUCAGGCCGGCCUCGCUGAGACAUGGCCUGCAUGCAGAUCCUACCAACAAGGAAGCGUUCCUCAGUUGAGACAUAGGGGACAGGCACUGAUUUCACACAAACAAAUAUCAGUACCUCAUGAAAUGUUGGGAAAUUGGUGAUGAAGUGAGUGAAAAUGGCAGGGACACCAGUGGCCAAAUCAGAAUAGACAAGACCAAUUCCAGGUACUCGAGCAAGCCCAAGGCAACCGCUAAGAUUCAGUAACCAAUUCAUUGAGACCUUGUUGUGUAGCUCAAAUUCAUACUUUUGGCGAGUUCCAUAGUGCCAGACAUACAUGAUGGCCAUGAAGAUGGUUGAGAGCACAAGAGGAACCCAUCCUCCUUGGGACACUUUAAUGAAUGCUGAUGAUAAGUAGAUCCCUUCGAUGAACCAGAAGAAGAGGAGAAAAGCUGCAGCUAAUAUGAUGCUUCUUUUCCAGACGAAGAUUAUUACCAAUGCCAUUAGAAAUGUUGUAAUGAACAUUACUGACAUGCAAGCAAUCCCUGCAUGUAAAACCGUCCAAAUAAAAUAAGAAUGUGCUAUCAAGGAUUCUUAAUUCCUCUUCCAUGCAUGCCCUGAAAUUUAUGUGCAGAUAGACAUGUUCAUAGAUCAAAGUCCAAACCCAUAUCAUGUCAUUGUAAGCUUGAAAUACUAGUAACUGAGAGAAUAAGAAUAGACAUACCAUAAGCAUUUCCAAUCAAAGUUGUGUCCUUGAAUCCAAUGGUUAUAGCAAGACAAAGGAUCAUGAGAAUCCAAUUUAUUUCUGGGAUAUAGAUUUGACCAUAUAUAUGUCUUGACGUAUGAAUAAUCUUGAUCCGUGGAAAGCAUCCAAGAGCAUGGCAUUGUUUGAUAAUGGAGAAGGUAGCUGUGAUGACUGCCUGACUCCCAACAAUGGCUGCAAGCGUUGCAAUCACGAACAUGGGCCAGUAUAUUCUAUCUA